rnacentral:rRNA from 1 species
CAGCAGUGAGGAAGGUGGGUAUGUUAAUAGCAUAUUCAUUUGACGUUAGCUGCAGAAGAAGCACCGGCUAACUCCGUGCCAGCAGCCGCGGUAAUACGGAGGGUGCGAGCGUUAAUCGGAAUUACUGGGCGUAAAGCGCAUGCAGGUGGUUUGUUAAGUCAGAUGUGAAAGCCCGGGGCUCAACCUCGGAAUUGCAUUUGUAAAACUAGGCAAACUAAGAGUACUGUAGAGGGGGUAGGAAUUUCAGGUGUAGCGGUGAAAUAGCGUAGAGAUCUGAAGGAAUACCGGUGGCGAAGGCGGCCCCCUCGGACAGAUACUGACACUCAGAUGCGAAAGCGUGGGGAGCAAACAGGAUUAGAUACCCUGGUAG